GGCCGGUUAGCUCAGUCGGUUAGAGUGUGGUGCUGAUAACACCAAGGUCGCAGGUUCGAUCUUGUGUUGCCUG
rnacentral:tRNA from 1 species